CCAGCGCCCGUCCCGGCCGGGCCACGCACCCCUUGGCACGCAUCUCCGCGAACUUCUUUUAUUAUUUGUAAAGAGAAAUGGCAGGAAAGAGCCACAAGGGCAGACAUUUUCCCCUGUUUUUUUAUUUUUGCCGAUGUAUUUAUUGUCGGCGCCUAGAACAGUGCCUGCACACAGUUGGCGCUCAUUAAAUACUUGAGGGACGCCCCUUGCCCGAGUUCACGCCGGACUGCGGAGUCGGUUGGCAAGUGGGUGGGCACUGCCACCUGGUGGUCUCCAGUGGAAGUGACGCCAAGGUCCUUCUGUAAAGGCAGGUGGAGAUGCUGAGGCCCAGAGGGUGAAAGCACUUACUGGCUUAGGGCCAUAUGGCAGAACCAGGAUCCAAACCAGCCUAUCUGGCCCCACAGUCCGUGCUUUCAAUUGGUGGCUAACCCGGUGUCACUUGCUGCAAGGUCAGACAUUGUCACAGAGGAGCCUCAUGUCCCCGGGAACUCGGUCUCCAGCCUUGGAGAGAAUGGCUCUAGGACAGGGGUCCCCAACCUUUUGGCACCAGGGACACUUUUCAUGGAAGACAGUUUUCCCAUGGAUCAAGCAGGGGCGAUGGUUUCAGGGCGUGUGCAGCGGAGUGUUCCGGGGGCUUGCACACACGUGCUGUUGCAACAGGCGGAUUGCGGCAGCAGAUGUGAGGAUCCAGCUGUCUUCUAGCAAGCCAGACCUUACAGAGAAUUUUAAAACGU